rnacentral:rRNA from 1 species
GGGAGGGCAGCAGUGGGGAAUAUUGCACAAUGGGGGAAACCCUGAUGCAGCCAUGCCGCGUGUGUGAAGUAAGGCCUUCGGGUUGUAAAGCACUUUCAGUAGGGAGGAAGGUAGUGUAGUUAACACCUGCACUAUUUGACGUUACCUACAGAAGAAGCACCGGCUAACUCCGUGCCAGCAGCCGCGGUAAUACGGAGGGUGCGAGCGUUAAUCGGAAUUACUGGGCGUAAAGCGCAUGCAGGCGGCCUGUUAAGUCAGAUGUGAAAGCCCCGGGGCUUAACCUCGGAAUUGCAUUUGAAACUGGCAGGCUAGAGUCUUGUAGAGGGGGUAGAAUUUCAGGUGUAGCGGUGAAAUGCGUAGAGAUCUGAAGGAAUACCAGUGGCGAAGGCGGCCCCCCUGGACAAAGACUGACGCUCAGAUGCGAAAGCGUGGGGAGCCAAACAGGAUUAGAUACCCCUGGUAG